CCUCAGGUCAGGCGGGACCACCCGCUGAGUUUAAGCAUAUCAAUAAGCGGAGGA
rnacentral:rRNA from 1 species